AGAUUGGGAAAAAUGCAAGUAAACCCAGAGCCACACUGACAGCACAAAGUUCAGUCAUACCAGCAGGGGGCAGUGUGACACUGAGCUGCUCUGUGGAGGGCUCUGCUGGCUGGAAGUUUGACUGGUUCAGACGUGAUUCACAGUUUUCUGGAGCUCAGAAAAUAGGAGCUGGAACAUCAGAGCACACUAUCAGUAUUUCAGAAGGAGGCAUCUAUUACUGCAGAGGAGGGAGAGGAGAUCCAGUUUUCUCCACAGAGGACAGUGCUCCAGUUACAAUUCAGAAACAAGUUUUGGCUGCUGUGAAACUGCAGCACAGCUGGUCUCAGAUAUUCACUGGUGAGACAAUCA